GGGAUGGCAUUCGAGGCCACUGGCACACAGGACAGGCUUGAGUCCAUCCAGGCUCUGGUCCUUUCAGGGCCAGCAUUUCCCACGGGCCUCUUUUCCGUCAGCAGCAUGUGGCCACCACAUCUGUGUCCAAAGUUGGAAGGAGAAGGCAGGAGGAACAGGCGCCACCCCGCGCUGCCAGAACAGGGGCUGCCUGGCUUCAACACACAAAUGCUUGGGAGAAACCUUUCUCAGAUAACACAGAAGAUGAGGUUUGGGACAAACUCCUCUAUUUGUAAUAGAGGAUUUAUUAUAAUUUAGUCACCUUUGUUCUCCUUCUGUUACAAAAAAUUCCAGACUGAACUGAGAAAAUUACUUCAGAUGAUUUAGGGUCAAGUUUGAUUUUAACCUAUUCAACCGUCCCGGAGGGAGUGGCUUUUCCAAGAUCCACUCUGAUCCGCCCUCAGGCUAAUCUCCCCCAGAUUAGCAGCCGCUGGUGAAACGGAGGCUGGAUCAAGGCUCAGGAAGUACGCCCUGUCUCCUAAUCACUGGCAACUAGAAGACAUUUACAAAGCAAAGCCGACCGCUCUUAGAGACCUCCAGCCCUCCUGGGCAACACCCGAAACAAAACACGGCCGAGCAGCAGCGCCAAGAGGAAUCUGAAAAGGCCUUUAUUGCUUAAGACUCAGGCCUUCCAAGAGCGCAUUCUUGAGGGUCCUGGAAAGCUGAGGCAGCGCCUGCGCCCGGGCACCUCCCCCUCCUCCCAGCGAACCCGGCCGUCCACCGAGGGGCCUGUGCGGCAAGCCCGCCCUCCACGCUGACACAGAUUUGGGAGAAACAGUGACAAACUGAGCAUCGACCGCCAGUGUGAUCUCACACUGAACUGGGCCAGUGGGCACCCAGGGACACGCAGACCGGAAAGACCAGCGAACAGCCUCCCCAGCUAACGGCCGGAGGACGGUGGAAGACACAAUUCCGUGGACCGCUCUUAAAACCUCUCACUCGCCGUGUUAUCUUGUUAAAAACACAUCAUGCCUCCCUGGCUUCACAGAUGACAGUGAACAAAAUGAAAUUACGAUUCUGAAAACGGCAAAUGAUGAAGGCUCCAAGGGGUUAUAAUAAAAUGUUGAUAUGAUUAUUGAUUAGAAAACUACAAUCACAUGCAUCAAACUCCCAGAUGUCAGAAUUGUGUUUAAUCCUUUGAAGUUAAAGGUGUAUCAGAAGGCCAAGCAAAUAGCAGAAAACACAGACGAGGAUGUGAGCUAAAGACAAUCAGCCACAAAAGCCCAUCUUUUCUGGGUCAUCCAGACGACUCCACUGAAGUCAGAAACAGGCACGCCGUUUACCCAGAGCACUGGGCAGUCUUCUCGGCAAUCUCGGCACGAUGCUCACAGGGGUUCCACCCAAGCUCCCAGGGCAGACUCCAUAGCCUGCUCCAUCGGUUGCCUCAGUAAUUUAUUCCCAGGUCAUUUUGUUAACCGAGCGGUAGCCAAUUUUCCAAAUAUACAGGUAGCUAUUCUUACAAAAAACAACAAUGCCCCCAAAUAUAUGCAUGCAUUUUCCCUACAGUGCUUGGUUUCUAUAUUCAUAGUGACUGGCAAGGUCUGGCCUCAGAGGCUUACCUGACAUUAUGGCCACAGUUCCCCUCCAAGGUGGAACCACAGUCACACAGGCUCUCUGAGGGGUCUUCAGGCUGCGAUUCUAUGCUCAUUUAGCAUUAUACUACCUUGGCCUUUUGGAAGAUGAGGUAAAACAUUCCAGAGUUCUGAAGGGACCUCCCACCUUCCAAACAGCAUUCUGAAUAUCAUCAAGCCUGGGACUCCCGCAGAUCAUGCAGCUUUAUUUUAAAGCUUUUAGUUUUGCUCCACAGUAUGAGACAAUUCUUGAAGAUGUUCUGUCCCCAACCCAGAUGAAUAAAAUGCACCCAAGCCUCAUGGGCUCCUUAAAUUCUAUGCACAUUUUCUGCCCUCCUGCACCACGAGGUCGGGCAAUGCAGGAAGGAUCAGUGUACGGACAGGAGUCUGGGCUGGAGACACUGCCCCAAGAGGUGGCCCCUGGGGGUUCCAGGGCAUCACCCUCUCCCCACAGCCGUGGAGCCAGCCCAUCCCCCAGCCCUACUGACUUAGGUCCUGAACAACCUCAGGCCUAUUGACGUCUCGCCACAGCCAUGGCCACGACAAGAACUCUGGUCCCUCUGCCAAAGCGUGGUCCCCACAGUCCAACCCAUGGGGUGGCCCUGGUGGCCACAUUGCUCCCCUCCUUCCAACCUUCCUAGGGGACCCUGAGGCUAUCCCCUCAAUUCCUGGCUUCUUUGGGCAGAGCCCAUCAUCCCCUUGCCUCCGAGACACCAUGCUGUUGUCCCACUGCUGGGAAGUCUCUGUCCCUGAUGUUCCCAGGCACCCCUACUGCCUGUAACUUGGAUCUUAAGUCAUCCACAACAGCCCUGCUGCCCCCUGGACUCUCCUCACUGUGCUCUGCACUUCCGCCAUACUGCG